rnacentral:rRNA from 1 species
AAACUCAAAGGAAUUGACGGGGACCCGCACAAGCGGUGGAUGAUGUGGUUUAAUUCGAUGCAACGCGAAAAACCUUACCCACCUUUGACAUGGCAGGAAUCCUGAAGAGAUUCGGGAGUGCUCGAAAGAGAACCUGCACACAGGUGCUGCAUGGCUGUCGUCAGCUCGUGUCGUGAGAUGUUGGGUUAAGUCCCGCAACGAGCGCAACCCUUGCCAUUAGUUGCUACGAAAGGGCACUCUAAUGGGACUGCCGGUGACAAACCGGAGGAAGGUGGGGAUGACGUCAAGUCCUCAUGGCCCUUAUAGGUGGGGCUACACACGUCAUACAAUGGCCGGUACAGAGGGUAGCCAACCCGCGAGGGGGAGCCAAUCCCGCAAAGCCGGUCGUAGUCCGGAUCGCAGUCUGCAACUCGACUGCGUGAAGUCGGAAUCGCUAGUAAUCGCGGAUCAGAAUGUCGCGGUGAAUACGUUCCCGGGUCUUGUACACACCGCCCGUCACACCAUGGGAGCGGGUUCUGCCAGAAGUAGUUAGCCUAACCGCAAGGAGGGCGAUUACCACGGCAGGGUUCGUGACUGGGGUGAAGUCGUAACAAGGUAGCCGUAUCGGAAGGUGCGGCUGGAUCACCUCCUUU